GGCGCAGGAAAGCAGGGGAUCGCAAGACCUUGCGCUGAUUGAGCGGCCGAUAUCAGAUUAGCUAGUUGGUGAGGUAAAAGCUCACCAAGGCGACGAUCUGUAGCGGGUCUGAGAGGAUGAUCCGCCACACUGGAACUGAGACACGGUCCAGACUCCUACGGGAGGCAGCAGUGGGGAAUUUUGGAUAAUGGGGGCAACCCUGAUCCAGCCAUGCCGCGUGAGUGAAGAAGGCCUUCGGGUUGUAAAGCUCUUUCAGCCGGGAAGAAAAUGCAUGGGUUAAUACCCUGCGCAGAUGACGGUACCGGAAUAAGAAGCACCGGCUAACUACGUGCCAGCAGCCGCGGUAAUACGUAGGGUGCGAGCGUUAAUCGGAAUUACUGGGCGUAAAGCGUGCGCAGGCGGUUUUGUAAGACAGGCGUGAAAUCCCCGGGCUUAACCUGGGAACUGCGUUUGUGACUGCAAGGCUAGAGUACGGCAGAGGGGGGUGGAAUUCCACGUGUAGCAGUGAAAUGCGUAGAGAUGUGGAGGAACACCAAUGGCGAAGGCAGCCCCCUGGGUCGAUACUGACGCUCAUGCACGAAAGCGUGGGUAGCAAACAGGAUUAGAUACCCUGGUAGUCCACGCCCUAAACGAUGUCAACUAGGUGUUGGGAGGGUAAAACCUUUUAGUACCGUAGCUAACGCGAGAAGUUGACCGCCUGGGGAGUACGGCCGCAAGGUUAAAACUCAAAGGAAUUGACGGGGACCCGCACAAGCGGUGGAUGAUGUGGAUUAAUUCGAUGCAACGCGAAAAACCUUACCUACCCUUGACAUGUCAGGAACUUUCCAGAGAUGGAUUGGUGCCCGAAAGGGAACCUGAACACAGGUGCUGCAUGGCUGUCGUCAGCUCGUGUCGUGAGAUGUUGGGUUAAGUCCCGCAACGAGCGCAACCCUUGUCGUUAAUUGCCAUCAUUUAGUUGGGCACUUUAACGAGACUGCCGGUGACAAACCGGAGGAAGGUGGGGAUGACGUCAAGUCCUCAUGGCCCUUAUGGGUAGGGCUUCACACGUCAUACAAUGGUCGGUACAAAGGGUCGCCAACCCGCGAGGGGGAGCCAAUCCCAUAAAGCCGAUCGUAGUCCGGAUUGUAGGCUGCAACUCGCCUGCAUGAAGUCGGAAUCGCUAGUAAUCGUGGAUCAGCAUGUCACGGUGAAUACGUUCCCGGGUCUUGUACACACCGCCCGUCACACCAUGGGAGCGGGUUCCGCCAGAAGUAGGUAGCCUAACCGCAAGGGGGGCGCUUACCACGGCG
rnacentral:rRNA from 1 species